UCUAAGCUUUUGUUUAGACAACCAUCAACGUGGAAUAGCUGGACUACACGUCUUUUCACCAUGGCAACGAAAGUUGUUAUAAAAUACAGCCACGACAGCUACUGUCUGAAGUGGCAGUGCUUAGAAUAAGGUGAAAGGGCUACUUUGG
rnacentral:sRNA from 1 species